rnacentral:rRNA from 1 species
AUUGAACGCUGGCGGCAUGCCUUACACAUGCAAGUCGAACGGUAACAGGUUAAGCUGACGAGUGGCGAACGGGUGAGUAAUGUAUCGGAACGUGCCCAGUCGUGGGGGAUAACUACUAGAAAGAGUGGCUAAUACCGCAUACGACCGGAGGGUGAAAGCGGGGGACGGUAAGGCAUCGCGCGUUUGGAGCGGCCGAUAUCAGAUGAGCGAGUUGGUGGGGUAAAAGCCCACCAAGGCGACGAUCUGUAGCUGGUCUGAGAGGACGACCAGCCACACUGGGACUGAGACACGGCCCAGACUCCUACGGGAGGCAGCAGUGGGAAAUUUUGGACAAUGGACGCAAGUCUGAUCCAGCCAUGCCGCGUGCGGGAAGAAGGCCUUCGGGUUGUAAACCGCUUUUGUCAGGGAAGAAACGAGUUUCUCUAAUACAGAGACUUAAUGACGGUACCUGAAGAAUAAGCACCGGCUAACUACGUGCCAGCAGCCGCCGUAAGAC